GAUGGAGCUGAGAUGCUUCUACUGUGACGGCUGUACUCAGGAUCUGUCUUGCUUUGGAGAAUAGUGAUGGGUUUAUGUUUUACAGGCAACUCACUUAUCAGUGGUGGCUUCAAAGACAAGGAUGCUGUAAGCUGCUGAGGCUUUUUUGCUUGCAGAACUCUGAAAUGGAAAGGACUGGGAUUUCCUUUAAGUUCAGAAGAGGCCAGACUGAGGCAAGUAGCGUCUCCAGCUGGACUACUGGAUGUCUGAAAGACUAAAAGUGUCUGUGAGCAGAUGUGAAUGCUCCCAUGUUUCUGCCUGAAACUCUCCAGGACAUGACUGAGAGUCACAGGGAUCAGUGUGCUAAAGGAGGGAUGCCCAAACAACUUCAUAGAUGUUUGUGCUUGUGGUCUUCUUGGAAAUCAUUCUCAGGUAUCACAUGGAUAAUGGUCCUCCAUGAUUUUUCUCUCUUCUCAUCGU